GACGUAGGGGGCCAGCGUUGUUCGGAAUUACUGGGUGUAAAGGGUUCGUAAGCGGUGUGGCAAGUCGGGAGUGAAAUCUCUGGGCUCAACUCAGAGUCUGCUGGGGAAACUGCCGGGCUUGAGUGUGGGAGAGGAGAGUGGAAUUCCCGGUGUAGCGGUGAAAUGCGUAGAUAUCGUAAGGAAGACCAGUGGCGAAGGCGGGUCUCUGGACAGUUCCUGACGCUGAGGCACGAAGGCCAGGGGAGCAAACGGG
rnacentral:rRNA from 1 species